ACUUGUUCGCCAGAAUAUUACGGGCGAAAGCCUAAAACUCAAAAGACUUGACGGUGUCCCAAUUCUGCCUAGAGGAGCCUGCUUCAUAAUCGAUAACCCCCGUUCAACCCGACCUUCCCUUGAAACCCACUUCAGCCUAUAUACCGCCGUCCUUUAUACCGCUUACCUUUUGAAAGAUAUACGAGUAAGCCAAAUAGCUUCUAGCUAAAAAGUCAGGUCAAGGUGUAGCUCAUGGGAAGGAGAAAGUGGGCUACAUUUUCUACUUCUAGAACAUACGAAAUGUACUCUGAAAUUAAAGUAAAUGAAGGCGGAUUUAGUAGUAAA
rnacentral:rRNA from 1 species